UCGUGUUUAGUUGCUAACCAGUUCGGUCUGAGAACUCUAAACAGACUGCCUACGCAAGUAGGAGGACUGGUGAGGACGACGGUCCAAGUCAUCAUGGCCCUUACGGCCAGGGCUACACACGUGCUACAAUGGGGUAUACAAAGAGCAGCGAUACGGUGACGUGGAGCAAAUCUAGAAAAUGCCUCUCAGUUCGGAUUGUAGUCUGCAACUCGGCCUACAUGAAGUUGGAAUCGCCUAGUAAUCGUAGAUCAGCAAUGCUACGGUGAAUACGUUCCCGGGUCUU
rnacentral:rRNA from 1 species